ensembl:lncRNA
UUUCUGGAGGCUGUGUCCUGUGGAUUGCUGGGUGAGCCCUGGUCCUUGGAAAGAGGUCCAUGUCUCUUCUGCACUGAGGACUCUACAUCUGGAUGGAGUACUCCAGGUCCCUCUGUUUGGCAUCCUGUCCCUCUGGUGUGUCAGCUUGGUGUCGUCAGCAAAUUUUCUGAGGGUGCACUCGACCCCACUGAUGAUGUCGCUGAUGAAGAUAUUGAAGAGUAUCAGCCUCAGCAUGGACCCCUGUGGGACAACACUCAUCACCAAUCACCAUCCAGACAUGGAGCCAUUGACCGCUGCUCUCUGGACCCAAUCCUGUAGCCGGUUCAUUGUCCAUUCAACAGUCCACCCGUCAAAUCUGUAUCUUUCCCAUUUGGAGAGAAGGAUGCUGUGGGAUAUUGUGUCAAAGGCCUUACUGAGGUCCAGGUAGAUGGUAUCAGUGGCUCUUUACUUGUCUAUUGAUGCAGUGGCACCAUCAUAGACAGCCACUAGGUUGGUAAAGCAGGAUUUACCCUCGGUGAAGCCGUGCUGGUUCUCCUGUAUCACCUUCCCUGUCUUACUUGUGCCUUAGUGCAACUUCCAGGAGGAUCUGCUCUGUGCUCUUUCCCAGCACAGAGGUGAGACUGUUAUGUUGGUAAUUACCAGGGUCAUCCUUUCUUCCCUUAUUAAAAAUAGGUGUGAUGCUGUCUUUUUUUCAGUCACUCAGGGAGGCACUCUUUUUGAUCUAAUGCAAUGGUUUCCUAAAAUUCAGUCCAAUUGAAAUUCUCUUUUGUCUUGUUACAAGGACUUCAAGCAGAUUGUGAGCUUGGGCUUUACAGGUCAGCAGUGGAGCCAACAGGGAGGCCUCUGGAUUUUUGAAGAGGACUGAGAAGGCUGAGAAUCAGGUGCUUUGUUUGACAUUUUUACUGGCUGCCUUACUUCAGGAUUCUGUCUGUCCGUAGGCAUGUCCAUUUGGUUGGGUUAGCUGGAGCUUAGGAGCUUGACUUCAACUAUACUUCAGUUCUUUAUGACACAGACCUGUGUCACUUGUUGCCUAGACCAAUUACACAUAUUGCUGGAGAUCCCUCUGUGCACUGUAAUUUUUUUUCCUUAAGUGUGGGGGUAGUAUCUGCCUUCAAACAGAUAAUGUCUAAAAUAAAUUUAUUUUUCUU